CAGGAAGAAAAAAAAAAGGAGUCAACAUUGGAAGCCUACUUCAAGCUAGGGACUUAGUCUUGGAGAAGAUUCACUCAGCAUUAAGUUCUGGAAAGAACACUUGGCUUGGAAGCUCAUAUUUUUGGAGACCCUGUGACUGAAGUUUCCUGGAUGAGAGAGCAUAUUGCUGGGGGAGUUGUGACCAUUCCUCCCAAAAUGGAAAGCAUGAACUGAUCAGAGAAGAAGGUGGCCCUAGCAAGUUCUUGGGAAUGAGGAAAUACUAGUACAUUAAUGUGGGAUUAAAACAGAAAGGCAAAAUGGAUAAUCUACACAGAGGUAAUAAAGACCGGACUAUACUUUCCU